rnacentral:rRNA from 1 species
AACGAACGCUGGCGGCAGGCCUAACACAUGCAAGUCGAGCGCCCUUUCGGGGGAGCGGCGGACGGGUGAGUAACGCGUGGGAAUAUGCCCUUCUCUACGGAAUAGCCUCGGGAAACUGAGAGUAAUACCGUAUACGCCCUAUGGGGGAAAGAUUUAUCGGGGAAGGAUUAGCCCGCGUUGGAUUAGGUAGUUGGUGGGGUAAUGGCCUACCAUGCCGACGAUCCAUAGCUGGUUUGAGAGGAUGAUCAGCCACACUGGGACUGAGACACGGCCCAGACUCCUACGGGAGGCAGCAGUGGGGAAUCUUAGACAAUGGGGGCAACCCUGAUCUAGCCAUGCCGCGUGAGUGAUGAAGGCCUUAGGGUUGUAAAGCUCUUUCAGCUGGGAAGAUAAUGACGGUACCAGCAGAAGAAGCCCCGGCUAACUCCGUG